rnacentral:lncRNA from 10 species
CCUGGUGUUACCUAAUCCACCUGGGCUUCCUCCAUCACAGUCCUCCACAUUCUACUCUGUGCUCCCUUCAUCAGAGCUAUGCUGGGCUAUGCUGGGCUGUCACUGUGAGAGAUGGAGCACUCUUCCCUGCUGGGCUGUGAGCCCUAUGUGAUUGGUUGAAAGUUGCAGCGACUAGAGGUUGAGAAGUGAGAGGGAAGGACCAGGGGAAGAAGAGGAGGUACCUGGUGCAUCUUGAUGAGAAAGCAGUCAAUGAAGUCCCGAGGGUUUUGGGGGUCAAAGGAUGCUUCGUUGAUCUUGACCCUGGAGGCAAUGAAGUCCUUGAGCUCUUCUACCAAGUAGUAGAUGAGAUUGUGUCUUCCUGGCAAAUACUGCAUGAUUCCAGAGUACAUGUCAUAUAGCUGUGGGAAUAGGCAAGGGGUCUUUGUCAGUGAUGGGCUCCAGGGGCCAGCAUGGGCUGAGUCUGGAGUUGGACAGCUGGACUCAAAGUGCAGUGCUGGGUCUAAGAAUCAGACCUUUCUCCCACCAAAGCUCAUCCUCUCAUGACUGAGAGCUCCAUAACCACCCAGUCACCCAGUGGUCCUCCCCCUUGUGGCCCCCAUACCCUUGGUCUUCCGGAACUCCUCCAGUAGGUAGCUGGCCUCCUCCUGAAUUCGCUCCUCAAUGCUCCGCUUUCCCAUCCCGAAGUCCCGAAGGAUGGUCAGGGGGAAGCGUCAGAGAAUCCUCCAUCGUUCUCCAUUGGCCAGAGCUACACCUGCCAAGAUCUCAGUCUCAGGCUUCUGCCUCCCUCCCCUUGCUGUGUUCAACUCUGUACUAGACAGUGAUGGGGACAGAUUAUGAAAGCUCUAGACUCUGCUGUCAAGGAAGCCAUUCUCAACCUUCAAGGCUCAAUCAAGAGAGUAAGGUUCUCUCUCUGCAGGAUCCUCAAAAAAAAAAAAAAAAAAAAAAGUCCAGACUGAGGUGGAGGAAAAGGGAAUCAGUGUAGGAAUGAUAGGAGGAGAUCAAAGAGUGUUUCUUACAGGAAGGAGAGGUGGAACUGGAAAAAUAAAUAAAUAACUGAGUGAAUGCAUAGGAAGGUGGAAGGUGGAGGGAUGUAUGGACAGAGUGCCAUAUAGAGUGCCCUGGAAUGGGGAUAUUAAUUCUAUUUUCUAUGUAAUACUUGGAUUCUCUGAACGUACACAUAUGUGUACACAGAAGCUCACACUUGUACAUCGAUAUACCUACAGAAAAGGAGUUAUCAUGUAGUAAGACACAUUUAGAAAUUACUAAAUGUGUGGACUGAUGAGAGUCUUAAACCAAUUCACUAGAUCUAAUGAAAUUAUUUUGCUUUAUUGAUGAAUGGAAGGAAGAGUUUAUGACUGGAAUGACGGAUGGAUGGAUGGACAGACGGACGGACAGAUGGAUGGAUGGAUGGAUGGAUGGAUGGAUGGAUGGAUGGAAGACUUAAUAGAUGGGUGGAUGGUUAAUGGAUGGAUGGUUUGAGAUAGAUGGAUAACAGUUGGAGAGUGGAUAGAUUGAUAGAUGUAUGAAUGAUGAAAGCAUUGAUGAAUGGAUGGAAUGAUGGAUAGAUGAAUACAUAGAAAGUUAAUUGACAGAUGUAUAGAUAAUAGAGUGAAAGAUGUUUUUAUAGAAAGAAUAAUGAGUGGAUUUUCUGAUGAAUAUGGAUCAGUGGACAAAAGGAAGAAAAGGUAAUAGAAAGAUAGAUAGAUAGAUAGAUAGAUAGAUAGACAGACAGUAUGUGGUGAGUCUGCUUGGAAUUGAAGGAUGUGGGCAGUUAGAGAUGGAUUCUUGGGAGAAAAAGAUCUACCUAAGUGAAGAAGGCAGAGACCUAUGGGUUAGGUAUGUGUAUGAGUAUAUGAAGAUGAGAAAUAAGGUUGGCUAUGAGAGCUUUAGUGGGUGCAUAAAGAAUAUCACUAAUCCGCCAG